rnacentral:rRNA from 1 species
UAAUGGCGAAUGAACAGGGAUGAGCUCAGCAUGGAAAUUGGGGCCUGUGGCCUUGAAUUGUAGUCUCGAGAUGUACAGCCAACGGAGGCGCAGGUGUAAGCCUUUUGGAAAAGAGCAUCAACGAGGGUGAGAAUCCCGUUUGUCAUCUGCAGCCCCCCGUGCACGGUGUACCUUCUAAGAGUCACGUUCCUCGGGAUUGGAGCGCAAAGUGGGUGGUAAAUUUCAUCUUAAGCUAAAUAUAUGUUCGAGACCGAUAGCAAACAAGUACCAUGAGGGAAAGGUGAAAAGGACUUUGAAAAGAGAGUUAAAAGUGCCUGAAAUUGCUGAAAGGGAAGCGGAUGGAACCAGUGCGCUUAGCAAGAUUGUUGCGCGCCAAUGUGAUUGCUCGCUGCUUCAGUGCAAGCGYUGCGGCAAGUUWUGAGCAGGACGCGCGCAGUGCUUCUUGCUUUUCGUGUCAACGUCAGUUCAUGAUCGAGGAAAACUCCAGGGAUAUGGUAGCUUACCUCCRGGUGGGUGAACGUGCCUGGCUGAACUCAUUCGUGUACUGAUAACCGCGUGUCAAGGCAGGUCACCCUGCGGUCAGGGCGUCGCAUUGACACAA